UAAUACGUAGGCAGCAAGCGUUGUUCGGAGUUACUGGGCGUAAAGGGUGCGUAGGCGGCUUUUUAAGUUUGGUGUGAAAUCUCCCGGCUCAACUGGGAGGGUGCGCCGAAUACUGAGAGGCUAGAGUGUGGGAGAGGAAAGUGGAAUUCCUGGUGUAGCGGUGAAAUGCGUAGAUAUCAGGAGGAACACCGGUGGUGUAAACGGCUUUCUGGACCAUAACUGACGCUGAGGCACGAAAGCGUGGGUAGCAAACAGGAUUAGAUACCCUGGUAGUCCACGCCCUAAACGAUGCAUAUUUGGUGUGGGCCAUUCAUUUGGUCUGUGCCGGAGCUAACGCGUUAAAUAUGCCGCCUGGGGAGUACAGUCGCAAGGCUG
rnacentral:rRNA from 1 species